UGGGACACAUAGGUAUUAUAUAACAAACUUAAUGACUAUACUUGUUGGGCAGUUGACCUAAGUUGACGGAUGGAGAAGACCCGUUGUAAGAGUCUGAUCGCCAAGUUGUGGUGGCAGUGAGUUAGAUACGCAUACAGAUAAGCAUUCGUUUGUACAUCACAUGCGUGCCAUUAGAAAAAGAAUUAGAAGAAUCUUUGUGGGAUUUUCCCAUUUAUAUAAAGUAUGUUUUCACCGGAUAACAUUCUCUUUUUUUCCACAGCCUCUCUCUUCUAAA